rnacentral:rRNA from 1 species
UAGAAGUUUGAUCAUGGCUCAGAUUGAACGCUGGCGGCAGGCUUAACACAUGCAAGUCGAGCGGGGGAAGGUAGCUUGCUACUGGACCUAGCGGCGGACGGGUGAGUAAUGCUUAGGCAAUCCUGCCUAUUAGUGGGGGACAACAUCUCGAAAGGGAUGCUAAUACCGCAUACGUCCUACGAGAGAAAGCAGGGGAUCUUCGGACCUUGCGCUAAUAGAUGAGCCUAAGUCGGAUUAGCUAGUUGGUGGGGUAAAGGCCUACCAAGGCGACGAUCUGUAGCGGGUCUGAGAGGAUGAUCCGCCACACUGGGACUGAGACACGGCCCAGACUCCUACGGGAGGCAGCAGUGGGGAAUAUUGGACAAUGGGGGGAACCCUGAUCCAGCCAUGCCGCGUGUGUGAAGAAGGCCUUAUGGUUGUAAAGCACUUUAAGCGAGGAGGAGGCUACUUUAGUUAAUACCUAGAGA